UGGGUAACCUGCCCUGGGCUUUCGGGAUAACCCCUCGGAAACGGGGGGACUAAAUACCG
rnacentral:rRNA from 1 species